ensembl:lncRNA
CCGAGGUUACCCGCGGGCGACCGUCGUGACGCAGUCCCCGGCCCGGAUCCGGAGAAGAUCCGGUAGGAGUAGGCCAGCCCCUCUGAGAGGAUGGUCCCUCGGGAGAGUCCACUUCCUCCAUCCUCCCAACUUGGGGGUGGGACUGAGGAAGGGAGAAGGAAGCCAACAUGACCUAAUUUUAUCCCGUCAAGGACACUGCAAGGUCAGCAUUGACCCCAUUUUACGGAUGAGACAACUGAGACUCCGAGAGGCGGCUGAGUUGCGGCACUCAGGAUCUUCGAUCUUCAUUGCAGCAUGUGCAAUUUUUAGUUGCGGCGUGCGGGAUCUAGUUCUCUGACCAGGGAUCGAACCCGGGACGCCUGCAGUGGGAACACGGAGUCUUAGCCACUGGACCACCAGAGAGCUUCUUUAUGGAACAUCAAUACGAACUGGGAACGAGAAGCAUCAUCGUAGCUGCCGUUUCUCAAGCAGGGAGGGUCCUGGGCUCCACAGAAUGACCCUACUGUCUCCUGGGAGCCGCCCUGGGGGCCUCUCUUGUCACCCAUUUG